AGGAUAAACGCUGGCGGCGUGCCUAACACAUGCAAGUCGAACGUCCUCUUUCUUUUCGGAGGGAGAGGGAGUGGCGGACGGGUGAGUAACACAUGGGUGACCUGCCCCAAAGUGAGGGAUACCGGCGAGAAAUCGCCGACAAGCCCGCAUAGGCUGGCUCUGGUAGAGCGGAGCGAGCAAAGUUUUGCGCAAGUGAGACGCUUUGGGAUGGGCCUGUGGCCGAUUAGCUAGUUGGUGGGGGAAGAGCCUACCAAGGCGACGAUCGGUAGCUGGUCUGAGAGGACGAUCAGCCACACUGGGAUUGAGAACGGCCCAGACUCCUACGGGGGGCAGCAGUGAGGAAUUUUCCGCAAUGGUCGCAAGACUGACGGAGCAACGCCGCGUGCAGGAGGACGCUUUUCGGAGUGUAAACUGCUUUUCUGUGGGACGAGAAUGGACGGUACCACGAGGAAGAAGCCCCGGCUAACUACGUGCCAGCAGCCGCGGU
rnacentral:rRNA from 1 species